AUGUGGCGCAAAUACUUGACUGGUUUCUGGAACCAAGUCAUCAUUCAACAUGUCUUUUCUGCCCGAAUCAAAAGAAUCAAUAGAAGGCUGAAGAAAAUUUCAGAGAACCAAAAGGAAUAUAAGAUCGAGCAUACACCAUUAGCAACAUUGACAUCUUCAACGACAGCAACUUCCGCAUGGUGGGAUGGCUAUGAGAACCCCGUGGGCUUUCAGGAUGAUGUGAGGGCACUUCCGCAAAUGUUGCUUCAGAGAGAUCACCCUCAGCAAAUGUUCAUUUCCAUAUUUGGGGCAGUGGUGUGGGCAAGAGGACAGUGGUACACAAUAUCUAUCAUAAUAGGAGGGUGA
rnacentral:rRNA from 1 species